GUAGGAGCUUGCUGAAGGAAGCUGACGGUGUCUCCUGAGCAAAGGCUGAGGGUAGGACAGCAGUAACGUGGUUUUCCAGCUGACCUCCCCAAGCCAAAGAGCCAGGGCUGAAGACCAGAAAGCAGCAGCAGGAAUUUCUGGCUAACUUCUAAACUGGAGGGCUGAAGGCAGGGGAGCAGCAGAGGGACUUAUCUGCUAGUGUCUUGAUGCUGGAGAGCUGGAGCCAGAGGAACAGUGCAGAGCCAACUGGUUGGUUUGUCUGAGACAAAAGAAAUUGUCAUUUCCUGAUCUGAAGGAACGGGGCUGCCUUUCAACAGACACGAAGAGAGCUUGAUUUCAGCUAGCAAAAUAACUGAGUGUUUGAAUGCAACCGUGACAGCCUGGGCAUAUAAAGAACUAGAAGACUCAUCACAAAAUCACACACUAAGGUAAAAUAUUACUGCUCUGAAACAGCAGCAUGAUCUACCAAAUGCUAUCAAAGAUUAAUUGGUCUCAACAUCGCACUACGCAUCUUGCAAAGCUGUAUAAUAGAUGUGACUGGGAAUGACAGUCAUUACCUGCAUGAAGCCGAUCAGACAAGCAUCCUAAACUUCUUCAUAUGCUAGGGUCCAUUCUGGCGUCCAAGGUAAAUGAACAGUUCAUCAUGUUUUCCAAAACUAUGUACAGAAAUGUUGGCUGUAUAAAAAAUUACAGUUGCAGAAUGAUAGAACAUGAAUAAUUUCCAAGGUUCAAUUGCCAUCUCAUCUAGAGUAAAAUAUCAGUCAGUUUCAUCUCUGCAGAAGCGACACCAUUUGGGUUUUUUUUUUUUAAAGUUUUGAGUAUGGGUUCUUCUAAAGACAAUGCAACUCUGUCAAAAAGCCAAAGGUGACACUCUACCACUUUCCCUCUAGUACGUGGGACAUCAAUUUGCCUGGAGCCAGGAGAAGAAUGACUGUGCAUUCAGAAGAUUUCUUUUCAUCUAUGAUCAGAAUAAAUUAAUACUAAUAAAAACAGAACAGAGAUCCCCUUUUGACAUCGUUUUAUACUGUUUAAAAGACAAACAUUUGCACACUGCAAGCCACAAAUGGAUAAAAGCUCCAGUGAGAAUUUAUAAUCCAUCUGUUAGUUUCCUAAAGAGACCACUAACUAUGAUUGU